rnacentral:rRNA from 1 species
AUGGUGGAGAAACAGAUCCAGCGGGAGCUGGCGGACAUGCUGACCCACGACCCCAUCAUGCAGCGCGCCGUCCUCCCCGAGGCCGCCCUCAGCGCCGACCGCUACCUCUCCUCCCCCACCACCAUCGCCGACAUCGAUCUCUCCAACGACCUCCAGGUGUGCAAGGUGUAUGUGUUCGUGUUUGGGGAAGAAGGUGGCCAUGUCCGGGCUCAAGGACAAGACCAAGUACCUCCAGGUCACGCCCGAGCUCUCCAACGACCUCCAGUUAAUUAG